UACAGAGGGGGCGAGCGUUGUUCGGAAUUACUGGGCGUAAAGGGCGCGUAGGCGGCCUUCUAAGUCGGACGUGAAAUCCCUCGGCUCAACCGAGGAACUGCGUCCGAUACUGGUUGGCUUGAAUUCGGGAGAGGGAUGCGGAAUUCCAGGUGUAGCGGUGAAAUGCGUAGAUAUCUGGAGGAACACCGGUGGCGAAGGCGGCAUCCUGGACCGAUAUUGACGCUGAUGCGCGAAAGCCAGGGGAGCAAACGGG
rnacentral:rRNA from 1 species